rnacentral:rRNA from 1 species
ACUCCUACGGGAGGCAGCAGUGGGGAAUUUUGGACAAUGGGCGAAAGCCUGAUCCAGCGAUGCCGCGUGAGUGAAGAAGGCCUUCGGGUUGUAAAGCUCUUUUGUCAGGGAAGAAACGGUGAGAGCUAAUAUCUCUUGCUAAUGACGGUACCUGAAGAAUAAGCACCGGCUAACUACGUGCCAGCAGCCGCGGUAAUACGUAGGGUGCAAGCGUUAAUCGGAAUUACUGGGCGUAAAGCGUGCGCAGGCGGUUUUGUAAGUCUGAUGUGAAAUCCCCGGGCUCAACCUGGGAAUUGCAUUGGAGACUGCAAGGCUAGAAUCUGGCAGAGGGGGGUAGAAUUCCACGUGUAGCAGUGAAAUGCGUAGAUAUGUGGAGGAACACCGAUGGCGAAGGCAGCCCCCUGGGUCAAGAUUGACGCUCAUGCACGAAAGCGUGGGGAGCAAACAGGAUUAGAUACCCUGGUAGUCCCA